AUGAUCUCCCUGCUCUCCCUACUCCCGUUCCUUCUCCUCGCGAUCGCCGCCGAGGCAACCGGCGACGAGCUCAGCACGUUCAUCGUCCACGUGCAAGCGGAGGAGAACCACGUGUUCGGCACCGCGGACGAUCGGAAGGCGUGGUACCACUCGUUCCUCCCCGACCAUGGCCGGCUCGUCCACGCGUACCACCACGUCGCCAGCGGGUUCGCGGCCCGGCUGACGCGCAGCGAGCUCGAGGCGAUGUCCGCCAUGCCCGGGUUCCUCAGCGCAACCUCUGACCGGACGUACACGAUGUCGACGCACACGCCCGAGUUCCUUGGGCUGGACGUGGAGCAGGGGCGGCGGAACUACACGUCGGAGUUCGGCGCCGGCGUCAUUGUCGGCGUGAUCGACACCGGCAUCUUCCCUGACCACCCGUCCUUCAGCGACGACGGCAUGCCGCCGCCGCCGGCCAAGUGGAAGGGGCGCUGCGACUUCAACCGCACCUCGUGCAACAACAAGCUCAUCGGCGCGCGCAACUUCGUCGCCACCCUCAACGGCCCGAACGGCACUUCCGCGCGGGUGCCGCCUGUCGAUGACUUUGGGCACGGCACUCACACAGCGAGCACCGCGGCGGGAGCGGUCGUGCCGGGCGCUAAUGUGCUCGGCCACGCGUUGGGCACCGCCGCCGGGAUUGCGGCCCGCGCGCACAUUGCCAUGUACAAGGUGUGCGACCUCAAUGGAGGCUGCGAGGCGUCCGACAUACUGGCCGGUGUUGACGCCGCUGUUGGCGACGGUUGCGACGUCAUCUCCAUGUCUCUCGGCGGGCCGUCGGUGCCCUUUCACCUAGAUCCUAUUGCCAUUGGGACGUUCGGCGCCAUCGAGAAGGGCAUCUUUGUGAGCAUGGCUGCUGGCAACUCCGGCCCGGGAGAGAGCACCGUGAUAAACGAAGCUCCGUGGAUGCUCACCGUCGCCGCGAGUACCAUGGACCGCUCCAUCCGUUCGAUCGUGCAGCUGGGGAACGGCGCAUAUUUCCACGGCGAGUCACUCUACCAGCCAAACGCCGGUGUGCCCAGUGCCUUCUACCCGUUGGUGUCCGCCGGCGCGAGCGGGAAGCCACUGGCCGAGUUCUGUGGGAACGGCUUGCUGGACGGCGUCGACGUCAAGGGCAAGAUAGUGCUCUGUGAGCUCACGAGAAAUAUCUCGGCGAUGAACCAAGGCCAGGUGGUGCUGAGUGCCGGCGGCGUCGGCAUGAUCUUGGCGAACCAGUUUGCCCAAGGCUACGACACGUUAGCCCAGGCGAACGCCCUCCCGGCGUCGAGCGUCGACUACUUCGCGGGCGCAGCCAUCAAAUCCUACCUCAACUCCACGGUGAACCCGGUGGCGAGUAUCGGCUUCAGCGGCACAGUGCUCGGCACGUCACCUGCUCCGUCGAUCGUUUUCUUCUCGUCUCGUGGGCCUAGCCGUCAAGGCCCUGGCUUUCUGAAGCCCGACAUCACGGGGCCGGGGGUGAACGUGCUCGCCGCAUGGCCGUUUCAGGUCGGGCCACCGUCAGCACCGGUUCUUCCCGGACCGACCUUCAACAUCAUCUCCGGCACGUCCAUGUCGACACCGCACCUCGUCGGCAUUGCAGCGCUGAUCAAGAGCAAGCACCCGGACUGGUCGCCGGCGGCUAUCAAGUCGGCCAUGAUGACGACGGCCGACAUCACCGACCGCUCCGGCAAUCCCAUACUCAACGAGCAGCGCAUGGCGGCCAACUUCUUCGCCACCGGCACCGGGCAUGUUUUAUGGGUAAAGGCCGCUGACCCUGGCCUAGUCUAUGACAUUACUCCCGAGGAUUACAUCGGCUACCUCUGUGGCAUGUACACGAGCCAGCAGGUCUCGGUGGUCGCGCGCCGGCGGAUCGAUUGCUUAACCACCGUCGUGAUCAGCGACCGCCUGCUGAAUUACCCGUCGAUCUCGGUCGCUUUCCCGGCGUCCUGGAAUUCGACGGCCCCGGUGGUCGUGGGGCGCAAGGUGAAGAACGUCGGGGAGGUGCCUUCGGUGUACUACGCGGCGAUCGACAUGCCGAGUAGCGCCGUAAGCGUGGACGUAUACCCGAGGGAGCUGGAGUUCAUCGAAGCAAACCAGGAGAUGAUCUUUUCGGUAUAUGUGUGGCCGAGGCAGAGUGGUGCAAGGGUGGUGCAAGGUGCUCUACGGUGGGUAUCCGAGAAGCACACUGUGCGGAGCCCAAUCUCCGUCACCUUUGCUUGA
rnacentral:rRNA from 1 species